UAAGGAAUAUUGGUCAAUGGACGCAAGUCUGAACCAGCCAUGCCGCGUGCAGGAUGACGGCCCUAUGGGUUGUAAACUGCUUUUAUACGGGAAGAAACCCUGAUACGUGUAUCAGGUUGACGGUACUGUAAGAAUAAGGACCGGCUAACUUCGUGCCAGCAGCCGCGGUAAUACGAAGGGUCCAAGCGUUAUCCGGAUUUAUUGGGUUUAAAGGGUGCGUAGGCGGCUUAUUAAGUCAGUGGUGAAAGACUUCAGCUUAACUGAAGAACUGCCAUUGAUACUGAUGAGCUUGAGUACAGUUGAGGUGGGCGGAAUGUGUCAUGUAGCGGUGAAAUGCUUAGAUAUGACACAGAACACCGAUUGCGAAGGCAGCUCGCUAAACUGUAACUGACGCUGAGGCACGAAAGCGUGGGGAGCGAACAG
rnacentral:rRNA from 1 species